UUCUUGGUCAUUUAGAGGAAGUAAAAGUCGUAACAAGGUUUCCGUAGGUGAACCUGCGGAAGGAUCAUUAAAGAAAUUUAAUAAUUUUGAAAAUGGAUUUUUUUGUUUUGGCAAGAGCAUGAGAGCUUUUACUGGGCAAGAAGACAAGAGGUGGAGAGUCCAGCCGGGCCUGCGCUUAAGUGCGCGGUCUUGCUAGGCUUGUAAGUUUCUUUCUUGCUAUUCCAAACGGUGAGAGAUUUCUGUGCUUUUGUUAUAGGACAAUUAAAACCGUUUCAAUACAACACACUGUGGAGUUUUCAUAUCUUUGCAACUUUUUCUUUGGGCAUUCGAGCAAUCGGGGCCCAGAGGUAACAAACACAAACAAUUUUAUCUAUUCAUUAAAUUUUUGUCAAAAACAAGAAUUUUCGUAACUGGAAAUUUUAAAAUAUUAAAAACUUUCAACAACGGAUCUCUUGGUUCUCGCAUCGAUGAAGAACGCAGCGAAAUGCGAUACGUAAUGUGAAUUGCAGAAUUCCGUGAAUCAUCGAAUCUUUGAACGCACAUUGCGCCCCUUGGUAUUCCAGGGGGCAUGCCUGUUUGAGCGUCAUUUCCUUCUCAAACAUUCUGUUUGGUAGUGAGUGAUACUCUUUGGAGUUAACUUGAAAUUGCUGGCCUUUUCAUUGGAUGUUUCUUUUCCAAAGAGAGGUUUCUCUGCGUGCUUGAGGUAUAAUGCAAGUACGGUCGUUUUAGGUUUUACCAACUGCGGCUAAUCUUUUUUUAUACUGAGCGUAUUGGAACGUUAUCGAUAAGAAGAGAGCGUCUAGGCGAACAAUGUUCUUAAAGUUUGACCUCAAAUCAGGUAGGAGUACCCGCUGAACUUAAGCAUAUCAAUAAGCGGAGGAA
rnacentral:rRNA from 1 species